ensembl:lncRNA
GCAUUACUCAUAUCUAUAUACUGUAUUCUAUUCUACUGUAUCUUAGUCGAUGCCGCUUUGACAUUGCUCAUCCAUAUAUUUAUUACAUUCUUAAUUCAUCAUUCCUUUACUUAGAUGUGUAUAUUGUGAAAUUGUUAGAUAUUACUGCUCUGUUGUAGCUAGAAACACAAGCAUUUCGUAACACCCCCAUACAUUGCUUAAACACGUGCACGUGACCAAUAAUAUUUUGAUUUGAUUUGAAGAGGACGUGACACUCUAGGUCUGUUGAUAAAACAGUUAUUCCCUGACCGGGAAUCGAACCCGGGCCGCGGCGGUGAGAGCGCCGAAUCCUAACCACUAGACCACCAGGGAAGUCAUAGCUUGUCGGUGUUGGAAACGAUUUCCUAAUUAUAAUAACUGUUGCUAGAUAAAUAUGUAUUUAUUGUUUUACAAUUGUUGACAGAUAAAUAUGUAUAUAUUUAUUUUUUUUACAAUUGUUUACAUAUAAAUAUGUAUAUAUUGUUUUACAAUUGUUGACAGAUAAAUAUGUAUUUAUUUACUAUAUUUUAUAAAUAGUUUUAUAACCCGUUUUUUGUUUUCUGAGCAAACACACUCUCGUCAACCCACUUGCACGUCGUGCACGAAUGAAAAUCAAACCCCUCCUUGUCUGACCCACAUCCGAGUGUCUUCCUCGUAGUAUAAAACCACUCGCCAAUCCUUCAUUCUGGCAACAACAACAAAAAAAACGAACAUUUACUCCGAAUAUAUUUCACUACUUAUUACAAGGUCGUUAGAGAGGGUUUUGUUUUAUUUACCCCCAAAUAAAAUCUGUUUUAUAAAUGGGCCCCGUCGUCCGAGCUUUAACUCCUUUACUCGUCUCGCAGAUUGACUUGGGUGCAGCACGUCUCUUGGGUAACAAACAAAAAGAAAGGUCUUCUGUCCCAAAUGGACAACAUGUUAUUCUAGGUAACGUUUAGUCGACUUGGCUUUUUCCUUCAACAGACCAUAUGAUGUUAUGUUUCUAAACUCAAGUUUGUCAUUUUCGUUCACGUUUUUUUGUUAAAUAAUGGGAACAUUGUAAGUUCGCUAGGCGCCUAACUACACCUUGCUAUCUACCGUUAGCUAGCUAGUUAUGUACCACACGGUUAGGGUUAGGUUAGGGUUAGGUUAGGGUUAGGUUAGGGUUAGGUUAGGGUUAGGUUAGGGUUAGGUUAGGGUUAGGUUAGGGUUAUAGGGUUGGUUAGGGUUAUGGUUAGGGUUUGGGUUAGGUUAGGGUUAGGUAGGGUUGGUUUGGGUUAGGUUAGGGUUAGGUUUGGGUUAGGUCUAGGUGGGUGUGAUUAGUCAGGUUAGGGUUAGCUCUAGGUUAGCUCUAGGUUAGGUUAGCUCUAGGUUAGGGUUAGCUCUAGGUUAGGGUUCGCUCUAGGUUAGGGUUUAGCUCUAGGUUAGGGUUAGCUCUAGGUUAGGUUAGCUCUGGUUAGGUUUGGAUUAGCUCUAGGUUAGGGUUUGGAUUAGGUUAGGGUUUGGAUUAGCUCUAGGUUAGGGUGGUUAGCUCUAGGUUAGGGUUAGCUUAGUUGGGUUAGCUCUAGGUUAGGGUUAGCUCUAGGUUAGGGUUUGAUAGCUCUAGGUUAGGUUUGGAUUAGUCUAGGUUAGGGUUCGCUUAGUUAGGGUUGCUCUAGGUUAGGGUUUGGAUUAGUUAGGGUUGGAUUAGCUCUAGGUUAGGGUUGAUUAGCUCUGUUAGGGUUUGGAUAGCUCUAGUUAGGGUUAGGUCAGUUUUGGGUUAGGUUAGGGUUUGGAUUAGGUCUAGGUUAGGGUUUGGUUUAGGUUUGGGUUAGGUUAGGUUUAGGUAUGGUCCCUGAGUUUAGCACACCCACAUGACUAAGAUAUUGUAAUUUUCGGUCGAGAGUGGUUAUAACUUGGGUGGUUAGACCGUUCGUCCGGUAACCGAAAGUUAAUUGGGCCGAAUCCCGGAGCUGACCGGUAUAAAACAAAACGGUCCUUCUCCUGACACAAGGCAGAGUUAACCCACGGUUCCUAGGGCAGUUAA